AUUGAACGCUGGCGGCGGGCCUAACACAUGCAAGUCGAACGCGUGGCGGACGGGUGAGUAAUGUCUGGGAAACUGCCUGAUGAAGGGGGAUAACUACUGGAAACGGUAGCUAAUACCGCAUACCAUCGGAUGUUCCCAGAUGGGAUUAGCUAGUAGGUGGGGUAAAGGCUCACCUAGGCGACGAUCCCUAGCUGGUCUGAGAGGAUGACCGGCCACACUGGAACGGAGACACGGUCCAGACUCCUACGGGAGGCAGCAGUGGGGAAUAUUGCACAAUGGGCGAAAGCCUGAUGGAGCCAUGCCGCGUGUAUGAAGAAGGCCUUCGGGUCGUAAAGUACUUUCAGUGGGGAGGCGUUACCCGCAGAAGAAGCACCGGCUAACUCCGUGCCAGCAGCCGCGGUAAUAC
rnacentral:rRNA from 1 species